CAUAUCUAAGAAACUACUGUUCAUACUAUACGUAUGCUAGGAAAUAAAUAAUUCCCUUAAGAUAU
rnacentral:tRNA from 1 species